rnacentral:rRNA from 1 species
AUUGAACGCUGGCGGCAUGCCUUACACAUGCAAGUCGAACGGUAACAGAACUUCGGAUGCUGACGAGUGGCGAACGGGUGAGUAAUACAUCGGAACGUGCCCGAUCGUGGGGGAUAACGAAGCGAAAGCUUUGCUAAUACCGCAUACGAUCUACGGAUGAAAGCAGGGGACCGCAAGGCCUUGCGCGAACGGAGCGGCCGAUGGCAGAUUAGGUAGUUGGUGGGAUAAAAGCUUACCAAGCCGACGAUCUGUAGCUGGUCUGAGAGGACGACCAGCCACACUGGGACUGAGACACGGCCCAGACUCCUACGGGAGGCAGCAGUGGGGAAUUUUGGACAAUGGGCGAAAGCCUGAUCCAGCCGUGCCGCGUGCAGGAUGAAGGCCUUCGGGUUGUAAACUGCUUUUGUACGGAACGAAAAGACUCUGGUUAAUACCUGGGGUCCAUGACGGUACCGUAAGAAUAAGCACCGGCUAACUACGUGCCAGCAGCCGCCGUAA